rnacentral:other from 1 species
UAUUCCCUGCUGUACGCGUCGGGUCAAGUUAUACUGAACCAACACAGUAUAUACGGGAGCUAAACUUUUAAAGCAUCUUUUGGAUGUUUUAAAGAGGCACCCACUUGACACAUACGGUUCAUGUUACCUAUCCUAACGGUAUAAGCGGGGAUUUU